CCUGGUUGAUCCUGCCAGUAGUCAUAUGCUUGUCUCAGAGAUUAAGCCAUGCAUGUCCAAGUACAGGCCUUAAAACGGUGAAACCGCGAAUGGCUCAUUAAAUCAGCUAUGGUUCCUUAGAUCGUACAUGCUACAUGGAUAACUGUAGUAAUUCUAGAGCUAAUACAUGCCACUAUGCCCUGACCCGCAAGGGAACGGGUGGAUUUAUUAGAACAGAACCAACCGGGAGCGGCUUCGGUCGUUCCUGUUGCACUCUGUGAUGACUCUGGAUAACUUUACUGAUCGCAGUCGGCCUUGUGUCGGCGACGGAUCUUUCAAAUGUCUGCCCUAUCAACUUUCGAUGGUAGGUGAUCUGCCUACCAUGGUGAUAACGGGUAACGGGGAAUCAGGGUUCGAUUCCGGAGAGGGAGCCUGAGAAACGGCUACCACAUCCAAGGAAGGCAGCAGGCGCGAAAAUUACCCACUCCCGGCACGGGGAGGUAGUGACGAAAAAUACGAAUACGGGACUCACUCGAGGCUCCGUAAUUCGAAUGAGUACAAUCUAAAUCCUUUAACGAGGACCAAUUGGAGGGCAAGUCUGGUGCCAGCAGCCGCGGUAACUCCAGCUCCAAAAGCGUAUAUUAAAGUUGCUGCAGUUAAAAAGCUCGUAGUUGGAUCUGGGUCGUGCGUUCACAUGUCGUCGCUUGGUUCUGAUUUCGGUCAGUUCCAUGUGAUGGUAAAGUGGGCGUGCAGCCUUUCAGCCGUGUCUGCGUGAGCAGGUGUUGGUUGGUUGGUGAGCUUGCUCACUGGCUAGCUGGCAUGUUUCCUGAUGCCUUUAAACGGGUGUCGGGGGCGUACGGCACUUUUACUUUGAACAAAUUUGAGUGCUCAAAGCAGGCCAAUGCGCCUGUAAAGUCUUGCAUGGAAUAAUGGAAUAGGACUUCGGUUCUAUUUUGUUGGUUUCCGGAUCCGAAGUAAUGGUUAAGAGGAACAGACGGGGGCAUUUGUAUGGCGGCGUGAGAGGUGAAAUUCUAUGAUCGUCGCCAGACAAACUACAGCGAAAGCAUUUGCCAAGAAUGUUUUCAUUGAUCAGGAGCGAAAGUCAGAGGUUCGAAGACGAUCAGAUACCGUCCUAGUUCUGACCAUAAACGAUGCCAACUGACAAUCCGCGGCGGUUCUUUAAUUGGCCCCGCGGGCAGUCCCCGGGAAACCCUUAAGUCUUUGGGCUCCGGGGGAAGUAUGGUUGCAAAGCUGAAACUUAAAGGAAUUGACGGAAGGGCACCACCAGGAGUGGAGCCUGCGGCUUAAUUCGAC
rnacentral:rRNA from 1 species